rfam:Burkholderia pseudomallei strain K96243, chromosome 2, complete sequence.
UGCGUUUUUCGCCCAGAUGGCGUUCCACCGCCGACUCAAGUCCUGAAGGCCUUCGUCGAUCAGCAUCGCGACACCUUUGGGGUCGAGCCGAUCUACAAGGUUUUGCGGAUUGCGACG